rnacentral:rRNA from 1 species
CCUACGGGGGGCAGCAGUGAGGAAUAUUGGUCAAUGGACGAGAGUCUGAACCAGCCAAGUAGCGUGAAGGAUGACUGCCCUAUGGGUUGUAAACUUCUUUUAUAUGGGAAUAAAAUGUUCCACGUGUGGGAUUUUGUAUGUACCAUAUGAAUAAGGAUCGGCUAACUCCGUGCCAGCAGCCGCGGUAAUACGGAGGAUCCGAGCGUUAUCCGGAUUUAUUGGGUUUAAAUGGAGCGUAGGUGGAUUGUUAAGUCAGUUGUGAAAGUUUGCGGCUCAACCGUAAAAUUGCAGUUGAAACUGGCAGUCUUGAGUACAGUAGAGGUGGGCGGAAUUCGUGGUGUAGCGGUGAAAUGCUUAGAUAUCACGAAGAACUCCGAUUGCGAAGGCAGUUCACUGGACUGCAACUGACACUGAGGCUCGAAAGUGUGGGUAUCAAACAGGAUUAGAUACCCGUGUAGUC